CAGAAGUUCUACAGGACCACUGCUUUUGACUGCAGCUCAACCCUGACCAACAGUGUGCAAGGCUGUACUCUGACUCAGUGGGUUUAAGCCAGUUUUCUGGCUGAAGAGAGGAAGGAACUGUUGUUACAUGCUCAAGCAACAUGUCAAGAGCACACCAGGAAUUUCACCCACUCUCAGGAAGGACCUGAAACAGAAACAACUUUGUUGUGGCAUCACAGAGAAUGCAGUCUGAGAUCCUUUGGUGAUUAAAGAAGAUAUUUUUGGAUCACUCCUAACCAGGCAGAAGUGCUUACCUGUAACCUUGAGGUGCCUUUGUGGGACUGGAUUUUGCACAGUCAUAUUCUCUGGAUGGGAAUGACUGACUUACAUUUCUUUCCCUAAAGAGUGAACGAGAAAUAAGCCAUUGUGUGUGUCUUUUUUCCAGUGGCUCAGUGGAAGGAGGCUCUGUGUCAGGUCCUUGCACUAUCUAAGACUGAAAGGAUUUUCAUUCCCCAUCACAGGCUGGGUACCUGCUGCCUAGGAAGCAGCUUUGCAGAGAAAACCCUAUGAGUGUGGGCAAGAGGUUGAUCAAGAACUAGCGCUGUAACAAGGAAGCCAAUGUAUCCUGGGCUGUACUAGGUCAAGUGUUGCCAGCAGGUUGAGGCAGGGGAUCCUUCCCCUCUGCUGAGCACUGGUGAGGCCCAUCUGGAAAGCUGUACCCCUGCUGAGCUUCCCAGUACAAGUGAGACAAGGACAUACUGGAAAAAUCCCAGUGAAGGUUCCCGAAGUUACGAAAGAACAGGAGCCUCUGUGAUAUGAGGAAAGUCUGAAGAGAAAUGACUCAGGAAGAUCUUAUCAGUGUAUGUAAAUAUCUGAUUGGGGUGGAUGUAAAGAAGAGAACUCAGAAUCACAGGACCAAAGAAUUACUUUGAUUGAAAAAGGCCUCUUAGAUCAUUGAGUCCAGCAUACUUCUCAGUCCAACCUCUUCUCAAAGCUCAGCUCUUCUCAGUGGUGCCCAGUGUAGGGACAAGAGGCAAUGGGGGUACAUUGAAAUGAGAAAUUCCACUCCCACAUAAAGAAAAUAAUUACUGUUCAACUGGUCAAACAGUGGAGUAGAUUACCCAGGGACGUGGUGGACUGACAGUCUUUGGAGACAAUCCAGUCCUGACUGGACAUAGUCCCAAGCAACCUGCUGUAGCCAAACCUGCUCUGAAUAGGAGGCUGGACUAGAUGGCUUCCAGAGACAUCUGUCAGCCUCAAGUACUCUUUGAUUUUGUUUUUUUUUAAGACUGCAUUUAAAAAAAUCUUGCUUUCACAUUGUCACUGCUGGGAAGCGUUAAGCUUUCGUGGAUAUCUCAGUGAUGAAUCACUAGUAGUCAGCACAGUUCUGUUAGCUUGACUUUGAAUUAUCUGGGUUCAGAGAAGGUAAUUUGGAGUAUGUGUUUCUUACCCCUGUCUUGCUGAUGAGCAGCUUUAUCUCCAUUUUUGUCUAGAAGUGUCUUUGGGCUUUAACAAUUAGCAUUGAGUCUAUAAAUAAACACUGAACAACA